rnacentral:rRNA from 1 species
GAUGAACGCUGGCGGCGUGCCUAAUACAUGCAAGUCGAGCGAACAGACGAGGAUCUUGCUCCUCUGACGUUAGCGGCGGACGGGUGAGUAACACGUGGAUAACCUACCUAUAAGACUGGUAUAACUUCGGGAAACCGGAGCUAAUACCGGAUAAUAUAUUGAACCGCAUGGUUCAAUAGUGAAAGACGGUUUUGCUGUCACUUAUAGAUGGAUCCGCGCCGCAUUAGCUAGUUGGUAAGUUAACGGCUUACCAAGGCAACGAUGCGUAGCCGACCUGCGAGGGUGAUCGGCCACACUGGAACUGAGACACGGUCCAGACUCCUACGGGAGGCAGCAGUAGGGAAUCUUCCGCAAUGGGCGAAAGCAUGACGGAGCAACGCCGAGUGAGUGAUGAAGGUCUUCGGAUCGUAAAACUCUGUUAUUAGGGAAGAACAAAUGUGUAAGUAAAUAUGCACGUAUUGACGGUACCUAAUCAGAAAGCCACGGCUAACUACGUG